AUAGGGUCAAGUGAAUAAGUGCAUCAGGCGGAUGCCUUGGCGAUGAUAGGCGACGAAGGACGUGUAAGCCUGCGAAAAGCGCGGGGGAGCUGGCAAUAAAGCUAUGAUUCCGCGAUGUCCGAAUGGGGAAACCCACUGCAUUCUGUGCAGUAUCCUAAGUUGAAUACAUAGGCUUAGAGAAGCGAACCCGGAGAACUGAACCAUCUAAGUACCCGGAGGAAAAGAAAUCAACCGAGAUUCCGCAAGUAGUGGCGAGCGAACGCGGAGGAGCCUGUACGUAAUAACUGUCGAGAUAGAAGAACAAGCUGGGAAGCUUGACCAUAGCGGGUGACAGUCCCGUAUUCGAAAUCUCAACAGCGGUACUAAGCGUACGAAAAGUAGGGCGGGACACGUGAAAUCCUGUCUGAAUAUGGGGGGACCAUCCUCCAAGGCUAAAUACUCAUCAUCGACCGAUAGUGAACCAGUACCGUGAGGGAAAGGCGAAAAGAACCCCGGGAGGGGAGUGAAACAGAACCUGAAACCUGAUGCAUACAAACAGUGGGAGCGCCCUAGUGGUGUGACUGCGUACCUUUUGUAUAAUGGGUCAACGACUUACAUUCAGUAGCGAGCUUAACCGGAUAGGGGAGGCGUAGGGAAACCGAGUCUUAAUAGGGCGAUGAGUUGCUGGGUGUAGACCCGAAACCGAGUGAUCUAUCCAUGGCCAGGUUGAAGGUGCCGUAACAGGUACUGGAGGACCGAACCCACGCAUGUUGCAAAAUGCGGGGAUGAGCUGUGGGUAGGGGUGAAAGGCUAAACAAACUCGGAGAUAGCUGGUUCUCCCCGAAAACUAUUUAGGUAGUGCCUCGAGCAAGACACUGAUGGGGGUAAAGCACUGUUAUGGCUAGGGGGUUAUUGCAACUUACCAACCCAUGGCAAACUCAGAAUACCAUCAAGUGGUUCCUCGGGAGACAGACAGCGGGUGCUAACGUCCGUUGUCAAGAGGGAAACAACCCAGACCGCCGGCUAAGGUCCCAAAUGAUAGAUUAAGUGGUAAACGAAGUGGGAAGGCACAGACAGCCAGGAUGUUGGCUUAGAAGCAGCCAUCAUUUAAAGAAAGCGUAAUAGCUCACUGGUCGAGUCGUCCUGCGCGGAAGAUGUAACGGGGCUCAAAUCUAUAACCGAAGCUGCGGAUGCCGGUUUACCGGCAUGGUAGGGGAGCGUUCUGUAGGCUGAUGAAGGUGCAUUGUAAAGUGUGCUGGAGGUAUCAGAAGUGCGAAUGUUGACAUGAGUAGCGAUAAAGCGGGUGAAAAGCCCGCUCGCCGAAAGCCCAAGGUUUCCUACGCAACGUUCAUCGGCGUAGGGUGAGUCGGCCCCUAAGGCGAGGCAGAAAUGCGUAGUCGAUGGGAAACAGGUUAAUAUUCCUGUACUUGAUUCAAAUGCGAUGUGGGGACGGAGAAGGUUAGGUUGGCAAGCUGUUGGAAUAGCUUGUUUAAGCCGGUAGGUGGAAGACUUAGGCAAAUCCGGGUUUUCUUAACACCGAGAAGUGAUGACGAGUGUCUACGGACACGAAGCAACCGAUACCACGCUUCCAGGAAAAGCCACUAAGCUUCAGUUUGAAUCGAACCGUACCGCAAACCGACACAGGUGGGCAGGAUGAGAAUUCUAAGGCGCUUGAGAGAACUCGGGAGAAGGAACUCGGCAAAUUGAUACCGUAACUUCGGGAGAAGGUAUGCCCUCUAAGGUUAAGGACUUGCUCCGUAAGCCCCGGAGGGUCGCAGAGAAUAGGUGGCUGCGACUGUUUAUUAAAAACACAGCACUCUGCCAACACGAAAGUGGACGUAUAGGGUGUGACGCCUGCCCGGUGCCGGAAGGUUAAUUGAAGAUGUGCAAGCAUCGGAUCGAAGCCCCGGUAAACGGCGGCCGUAACUAUAACGGUCCUAAGGUAGCGAAAUUCCUUGUCGGGUAAGUUCCGACCCGCACGAAUGGCGUAACGAUGGCCACACUGUCUCCUCCCGAGACUCAGCGAAGUUGAAGUGGUUGUGAAGAUGCAAUCUACCCGCUGCUAGACGGAAAGACCCCGUGAACCUUUACUGUAGCUUUGCAUUGGACUUUGAAGUCACUUGUGUAGGAUAGGUGGGAGGCUUGGAAGCAGAGACGCCAGUCUCUGUGGAGUCGUCCUUGAAAUACCACCCUGGUGUCUUUGAGGUUCUAACCCAGACCCGUCAUCCGGGUCGGGGACCGUGCAUGGUAGGCAGUUUGACUGGGGCGGUCUCCUCCCAAAGCGUAACGGAGGAGUUCGAAGGUUACCUAGGUCCGGUCGGAAAUCGGACUGAUAGUGCAAUGGCAAAAGGUAGCUUAACUGCGAGACCGACAAGUCGGGCAGGUGCGAAAGCAGGACAUAGUGAUCCGGUGGUUCUGUAUGGAAGGGCCAUCGCUCAACGGAUAAAAGGUACUCCGGGGAUAACAGGCUGAUUCCGCCCAAGAGUUCAUAUCGACGGCGGAGUUUGGCACCUCGAUGUCGGCUCAUCACAUCCUGGGGCUGUAGUCGGUCCCAAGGGUAUGGCUGUUCGCCAUUUAAAGUGGUACGUGAGCUGGGUUUAAAACGUCGUGAGACAGUUUGGUCUCUAUCUGCAGUGGGCGUUGGAAGUUUGACGGGGGCUGCUCCUAGUACGAGAGGACCGGAGUGGACGAACCUCUGGUGUACCGGUUGUAACGCCAGUUGCAUAGCCGGGUAGCUAAGUUCGGAAGAGAUAAGCGCUGAAAGCAUCUAAGCGCGAAACUCGCCUGAAGAUGAGACUUCCCUUGCGGUUUAACCGCACUAAAGGGUCGUUCGAGACCAGGACGUUGAUAGGUGGGGUGUGGAAGCGCGGUAACGCGUGAAGCUAACCCAUACUAAUUGCCCGUGAGGCUUGACUCUAU
rnacentral:rRNA from 1 species